rnacentral:rRNA from 1 species
UGCGNNUGGGCGGAAGCCUGACGCAGCAACGCCGCGUGUGGGAAGACGGCCUUCGGGUUGCAAACCACUUUCAGGGGGGACGAAGCUUCCGAGGUUAAUAGCCUACGGGGUGACGGUACCCCCAGAAGAAGCCCCGGCUAACUACGUGCCAGCAGCCGCGGUAAUACGUAGGGGGCGAGCGUUGUCCGGAAUCAUUGGGCGUAAAGCGCGUGUAGGCGGCUCGGUAAGUCCGGUGUGAAACCUUGGGGCUCAACCCCAAGCCUGCACUGGAUACUGUCGAGCUCGAGUCCGGGAGGGGAGAGCGGAAUUCCUAGUGUAGCGGUGAAAUGCGCAGAUAUUAGGAAGAACACCGGUGGCGAAGGCGGCUCUCUGGAACGGUACUGACGCUGAGACGCGAAAGCGUGGGGAGCGAACAGGAUUAGAUACCCUGGUAGUCCACGCCGUAAACGAUGGGCACUAGAUGUGGGCGGUGUCGACUCCGUCCGUGUCGAAGCUAACGCAUUAAGUGCCCCGCCUGGGGAGUACGGCCGCAAGGCUAAAACUCAAAAAAAUUGACGGA